CAAAAGAAGUAGGUAGUUUAACCUUAGGGGGGACGCUUACCACUUUGUGGUUCAUGACUGGGGUGAAGUCGUAACAAGGUAGCGCUAGGGGAACCUGGCGCUGGAUCACCUCCUUAUACGAUGAU
rnacentral:rRNA from 1 species